GAUAAACGCUGGCGGCGUGCCUAACACAUGCAAGUCGAACGCUCUCUCGCGCAAGUGAGAGGGAGUGGCGGACGGGUGAGUAACACAUGGGAAUCGGCCCACACGUGAGGAAUACCACCGGGAAACCGGUGACAAUACCGCAUACGCUUGGCAACAAGCAAAGCUCUUCGCAAGAGGGGCGCGCGUGGACGAGCCUGUGCCUGAUUAGCUAGCUGGUGGGGUAAAGGCCUACCAGGGCAUCGAUCAGUAGCUGGUCUGAGAGGAUGAUCAGCCACAC
rnacentral:rRNA from 1 species